rnacentral:rRNA from 1 species
GACGAACGCUGGCGGCGUGCCUAAUACAUGCAAGUAGAACGCACAGUUUAUACCGUAGCUUGCUACACCAUAGACUGUGAGUUGCGAACGGGUGAGUAACGCGUAGGUAACCUGCCUGGUAGCGGGGGAUAACUAUUGGAAACGAUAGCUAAUACCGCAUAAUAUUAAUUAUUGCAUGAUAAUUAAUUGAAAGGUGCAAUUGCACCACUACCAGAUGGACCUGCGUUGUAUUAGCUAGUAGGUGAGGUAACGGCUCACCUAGGCGACGACACAUAGCCGACCUGAGAGGGUGAUCGGCCACACUGGGACUGAGACACGGCCCAGACUCCUACGGGAGGCAGCAGUAGGGAAUCUUCGGCAAUGGACGAAAGUCUGACCGAGCAACGCCGCGUGAGUGAAGAAGGUUUUCGGAUCGUAAAGCUCUGUUGUAAGAGAAGAACGGGUGUGAGAGUGGAAAGUUCACACUGUGACGGUAUCUUACCAGAAAGAGACGGCUAACUACGUG